rnacentral:rRNA from 1 species
ACUCCUACGGGAGGCAGCAGUGGGGAAUAUUGCACAAUGGGCGCAAGCCUGAUGCAGCAACGCCGUGUGAGUGAAGAAGGUUUUCGGAUCGUAAAACUCUGUCCUAAGGGAAGAAACAAAUGACGGUACCUUAGGAGGAAGCCCUGGCUAACUACGUGCCAGCAGCCGCGGUAAUACGUAGGGGGCAAGCGUUAUCCGGAAUCACUGGGCGUAAAGGGUGCGUAGGCGGCUUAGCAAGCCAGGGGUGAAAGGCAUUGGCUCAACCAAUGUAAGCCUUUGGAACUGUUAAGCUUGAGUGCAGGAGAGGUAAGUGGAAUUCCUAGUGUAGAGGUGAAAUUCGUAGAUAUUAGGAGGAACACCAGUGGCGAAGGCGACUUACUGGACUGUAACUGACGCUGAUGCACGAAAGCGUGGGUAGCGAACAGGAUUAGAUACCCUGGUAGCACAGAG